AUGAACGCUAGCGGCAGGCCUAACACAUGCAAGUCGAGGGAGGAGCCUUCGGGCUUCGACCGGCGUACGGGUGCGUAACGCGUAUACAAUCUGCCUUUCACAUAGGGAUAGCCCGAAGAAAUUUGGAUUAAUACCUAAUGGUAUAUAGAUGUGGCAUCACCUUUAUAUUAAAGCUGAGGCGGUGAAAGAUGAGUAUGCGUUCUAUUAGUUAGUUGGAGAGGUAACGGCUCCCCAAGGCGACGAUAGAUAGGGGAUCUGAGAGGGAGAUCCCCCACACUGGUACUAAGAUACGGACCAGACUCCUACGGGAGGCAGCAGUGAGGAAUAUUGGACAAUGGUCGGAAGACUGAUCCAGCCAUGCCGCGUGCAGGAAGACGGCCUUAGGGGUUGUAAACUGCUUUUGCAGAGGAAGAAUAAGGACUACGCGUAGUUUGAUGACGGUACUCUGCGAAUAAGCAUCGGCUAACUCCGUG
rnacentral:rRNA from 1 species